rnacentral:rRNA from 1 species
GAUGAACGCUGGCGGCGUGCCUAAUACAUGCAAGUCGAGCGAACAGACGAGGAGCUUGCUCCUUUGACGUUAGCGGCGGACGGGUGAGUAACACGUGGGUAACCUACCUAUAAGACUGGGAUAACUUCGGGAAACCGGAGCUAAUACCGGAUAAUAUUUCGAACCGCAUGGUUCGAUAGUGAAAGAUGGCUCUGCUAUCACUUAUAGAUGGACCUGCGCCGUAUUAGCUAGUUGGUAAGGUAACGGCUUACCAAGGCAACGAUACGUAGCCGACCUGAGAGGGUGAUCGGCCACACUGGAACUGAGACACGAUCCAGACUCCUACGGGAGGCAGCAGUAGGGAAUCUUCCGCAAUGGGCGAAAGCCUGACGGAGCAACGCCGCGUGAGUGAUGAAGGUCUUCGGAUCGUAAAACUCUGUUAUUAGGGAAGAACAAACGUGUAAGUAACUGUGCACGUCUUGACGGUACCUAAUCAGAAAGCCACGGCUAACUACGUG